GCAGUCUUUUCUUUUAGAUCCCUGGUUUCUUUCAACCAACCAUCAAAGUAAGCUUGAUUGGAGAUAGGGGUGGGUUUUGCUGUCUCAACUUGGCUAUCUUUUAACCAGCCAUCAAGGUAAGCCUGAUUGAAAUUGUGGGUACUCUUUACCUUUUGAUUAUUGGUAUUUUUCAACCAUCCAUCAAGGUAAACUUGAUCGGAUGUAGGGGUAGAUUUUGCUUUCUCAACUUGGGUAUCUUUUAACCAUCCAUCAAGGUAAACUUGCUUGGAGUUUUGUGCAGUCUUUUCCUUUUGAUCCUUGGUAUCUUUCAACCAUCCAUCAAGGUAAGCUUGAUUGGAAUUGUGGAUAGCUUUUUGGUUUUCGUCAGGAGUAUUUUUCAACCACCCAUCAAGGUAAGCAGAAUUAGAAUUACGGGUUGAUUUAUGUUGGUGAUCCAGGGUGUUUUUCAACCAUCCAUCAAGAUAACUUGGAUUAGAGUUAGGGGUGAGUUUUUUAUUUUUCAGUGGAGUGUUUUUGAGCCAGCCAUCAAGGUAAGGCUGAUCGAGUUGUUUUUCUUCUAUACUCUCUUGGUGAAGCUUCAUAUCUCUAGCAUAGCCUCUAUUUUCACUCUACAAUGCAAUUGAAUAAAGGGAUAUUAAUGAGUGAC
rnacentral:lncRNA from 1 species